GAUGAACGCUGGCGGCGUGCCUAAUACAUGCAAGUCGAGCGAACAGACGAGAAGCUUGCUCCUCUGACGUUAGCGGCGGACGGGUGAGUAACGCGUGGAUAACCUACCUCUAAGUCUGGGGUAACUUCGGGAAACCGGAGACACUACCGGCUAAUACAUCGAACCGCUUGAUUCAAUAGUUCAAGACAGCUUUGCUGUCACUUAUAGCUGGUUCCGCGCCGCAUUAGCUAGUUGGUAAGGUAACGGCUUACCAAGGCAACGAUGCGUAGCCGACCUGAGAGGGUGAUCAGCCACACUGGAACUGAGACACGGUCCAGACUCCUACGGGAGGCAGCAGUAGGGAAUCUUCCACAAAGGGCGAAAGCCUGACGCAGCAACGCCGCGUGAGUGAAGAAGGUCUUCGGAUCGUAAAGCUCUGUUAUUAGGGAAGAACAAAUGUGUGUGUAACUAUGCACGUCUUGACGGUACCUAAUCAGUAAGCCACGGCUAACUACGUG
rnacentral:rRNA from 1 species